AGCACACAGAAAGCAACAGCAGCUGCAACUGGAACCUGACCAGCAGGAAAGAAUAGCAGGUGAAGAGUGUGGAACUAUGCACCCCAGAAGGGAAAGUGGUUAAUUUCUCCAGAGAGCAGUCUUCAAGAUUUGGACUUCCUCCUCUAUGCGAUACUGAUGAUGAAGGAUUUCCCUUGUUUGUGCAGAAAUCAAGGGAGGACAAUCGAGUACUGAGACUGGGGCAUACUGAAGGCCACAGAGCGAUGGACAGUUGCGGCUGACAGCUCACACCUUGCCAGCACAUCACCGGGAGGAAACCAGAGUACCUCAAGAAAACCCACACAAACACCGGGAGAACAUGCACAGCCAUCCGAGGCUGGAAUCAAACUCAGGAGUUGUUCAAAAUGUGAUCAAAAUGUGUUCCAAAACUUAGGUAACUAUGAGAAACAUCUUCCACAUACAACAAUGUACGCAUUUGGGUAAGGUAACUAUGAGAAACAUCUUCCACAUACCACAAUGUAAGCAUUUGGGUAGGGGAAAAAUAAAUCACUUGUAUUAUUGCAUUUCAAGAACAGGCUGAUUAGCUUUUUUAGGAGGCUGCCAAAAUUCAGUUUAAUGUAAUCUGUAGCCUGCAGACCAAAUGAAAAGAUGGUUAGAAAAUCACGAAAUAUUCUUUAUGUUGAUGGUUGAAUGUAACCCGUCAUGACUUUCUCUUUCAGUCACAGCAAUCAAUUAAUGUGACUCCAGAUUAUGUUAAAUUUGAGUCUUUAGAAUGAGAUGGCAUACAAAUGUUCAGAUAACGAAUACAUUUCAUUUAACAAGAUAAAUGUGCUUACAACACUUACACUGCUUACAAUUUAGAAAAUGUAUGUCCAAGCUUGACUUGUUUUUUUCUUGGAGCCAUACAAUACAUAGAGCAGGCAAAAUAUGAAUGGUGGUGUUACUGUUUUCCUUAUGCAAGGUAGCAGUAUGAUACAACAUUGUUUAGAUAAGAAUAACAGUCUUGGUCCAUCAGGUUACAGCCCCUACCUGAUACAGAAUCUGUAAUAGGGAGUAUCAGGAGCUGAAUAAAUCCACAGGGAUCAUGCAAGGACAGGUCUCACUCAUCCAGUAGGGAUCAUACACAGUGACUGGCCAAGCCUAUUUUCAUGUUUGCUCUCUGCAGGCAGAGUGAGUUUACUGUAUGCUUCAUCAUCCACCAUAACAUGUGCCUGCAGUAUCAAGACUUUUCAGGAGGGGCUAUUCCUGUCUGUGCCAGCUGUCCAGACAAGGGUCAUUUGCAUGAAAGACCUUGCCUCUGCUGAAAUGUCCUAUGCAGAGAGGGAUGCGGCUCUGUGCUUUUAUUUCUCUUGGAUUGAAAUUGCACUGUUUUGCACAAAAAUUCUCCAAAUAAUUGAAAAUGUACUGUCUUCUUGACUUCCAGGGCAAAGCGCUUUUGUGUCUCUCAUUAAGAUUCAGCCAUAGAAACAAAGUCAUAAAAUAUUAAGUUCUGAGCAUUCCUGUCUGACCAUGUCUGCAAAUCGGAACAGUAGGAGAAUACAAACAACCGAUGCCAGCAUACUGUUAAGUGUAGGCUGUCUGUGUGCUAAGCUGGUAUAAGGUAAGCUACAGUAUAAUGUACAUUUCAUAAAAGCAAUUGUGUAUGUCUCUUUUGUGCCAUCCUCUUCAGUCAUCAGGAGGUAAAGUGCUGAACAGUCCUUUUAAAACACUUGCAAAUGGAAAACAAGACUUGUGCAAGAUUUAUAGUCUGUAAAAAGCCACGGGCAAUAAAGUUUCUGAAAAAAAAUAAUCUAAUACCAGAAAUUUUGGAUUGGUUGGCUGAUUUCCCAGAAAAAUGGGGCCCCAGUUUGCAUUUACUUCUUUUUGUUAAUAAUGACCUUUCAGUUAGAAUGAAAGGCACCUGUAAUAGCCUGACUAACAAUAUUCUCUGAUUUCUAUA